UACAGAGGUCUCAAGCGUUGUUCGGAUUCAUUGGGCGUAAAGGGUGCGUAGGCGGCGCGGUAAGUCGGGUGUGAAAUCUCGGAGCUUAACUCCGAAACUGCAUUCGAUACUGCCGUGCUUGUGGACUGGAGAGGAGACUGGAAUUUACGGUGUAGCGGUGAAAUUCGUAGAUAUCGGGAGGAACACCAGUGGCGAAGGCGGCGACCUGGACGGACACUGACGCUGAGACGCGAAAGCGUGGGGAGCAAACAGG
rnacentral:rRNA from 1 species